rnacentral:rRNA from 1 species
ACACAUGCAAGUCGAGCGGAACGAUCCUAGCUUGCUAGGAGGCGUCGAGCGGCGGACGGGUGAGUAAUGCAUAGGAAUCUACCCAGUCGUGGGGGAUAACCUGAGGAAACUCAGGCUAAUACCGCAUACGUCCUACGGGAGAAAGCGGGGGCUCUUCGGACCUCGCGCGAUUGGAUGAGCCUAUGUCGGAUUAGCUUGUUGGUAAGGUAACGGCUUACCAAGGCGACGAUCCGUAGCUGGUCUGAGAGGAUGAUCAGCCACACCGGGACUGAGACACGGCCCGGACUCCUACGGGAGGCAGCAGUGGGGAAUAUUGGACAAUGGGCGAAAGCCUGAUCCAGCCAUGCCGCGUGUGUGAAGAAGGCUUUCGGGUUGUAAAGCACUUUCAGCGAGGAAGAAAGCGUGCCGGCCAAUACCCGGUACGGACGACAUCACUCGCAGAAGAAGCACCGGCUAACUCCGUGCCAGCAGCCGCGGUAAUACGGAGGGUGCAAGCGUUAAUCGGAAUUACUGGGCGUAAAGCGCGCGUAGGCGGCGUGUCACGCCGGGUGUGAAAGCCCCGGGCUCAACCUGGGAACGGCAUCCGGAACGGGCAGGCUAGAGUGCAGGAGAGGAAGGUAGAAUUCCCGGUGUAGCGGUGAAAUGCGUAGAGAUCGGGAGGAAUACCAGUGGCGAAGGCGGCCUUCUGGACUGACACUGACGCUGAGGUGCGAAAGCGUGGGUAGCAAACAGGAUUAGAUACCCUGGUAGUCCACGCCGUAAACGAUGUCGACUAGCCGUUGGGUCCCUUGAGGACUUAGUGGCGCAGUUAACGCGAUAAGUCGACCGCCUGGGGAGUACGGCCGCAAGGUUAAAACUCAAAUGAAUUGACGGGGGCCCGCACAAGCGGUGGAGCAUGUGGGUUUAAUUCGAUGCAACGCGAAGAACCUUACCUACCCUUGACAUCCUGCGAACCCGGAAGAGAUUCCGGGGUGCCUUCGGGAGCGCAGAGACAGGUGCUGCAUGGCUGUCGUCAGCUCGUGUUGUGAAAUGUUGGGUUAAGUCCCGUAACGAGCGCAACCCUUGUCCCUAUUUGCCAGCGAUUCGGUCGGGAACUCUAGGGAGACUGCCGGUGACAAACCGGAGGAAGGUGGGGACGACGUCAAGUCAUCAUGGCCCUUACGGGUAGGGCUACACACGUGCUACAAUGGCCGGUACAAAGGGUUGCGAAAGCGCGAGCUGAAGCUAAUCCCGAAAAGCCGGUCUCAGUCCGGAUCGGAGUCUGCAACUCGACUCCGCGAAGUCGGAAUCGCUAGUAAUCGUGCAUCAGAAUGGCACGGUGAAUACGUUCCCGGGCCUUGUACACACCGCCCGUCACACCAUGGAAGUGGACUGCACCAGAAGUGGUUAGCUUAACCUUCGGGAGAGCG